rnacentral:sRNA from 1 species
GCAGAAGUGCUUCCCUCUCUCAUUUCCAGGACCACAAUUCCCAGAGACUUCGGCUUCACGGCGUUUCUCUUUUUGCCCGAUCUCUCCUGGAGCUGGCUGGGCUUCGGCCGGCCAGAGGCCCACAGCGACGACGUGAUCCGUCGUGAGCGGGUCCCAGGGUUUCCUCGGCGGCCCUUUUUUCUCUCCCCUCGGUCGUCCCCCUUGCAGGCUGUCGCGGCUGGCCUGAGCGGUGACCUGGCGGGUCGCGCCUGCGCUCUGCCCUGUUUCCUGCCUGGCUGGUGGCGGCGGCCAUUUUGUUCAUCCUCCUCCUCCUCCUGCUCCUCCUGGUUGGAGCGCAGUGUCCGGAGCGGGCUGGGGGGAGAGAGCCCGAGAGCAGGGUUCGGUGCCUUUUCCUCUGUCCCCAGCCGGUGCCCAGAGCCCCCCUCCCCUUCCUCCCCACCCCCUCCCCUCCCCAACCCUGCCCUCCCCCUUGUCCCGGGAUCGCUCCGUCGCACCCACCAUGAUGGAAGACGACGGGCAGCCCCGGACUCUAUACGUAGGUAACCUUUCCAGAGAUGUGACAGAAGUCCUUAUACUUCAGUUGUUCAGUCAGAUUGGACCCUGUAAAAGCUGUAAAAUGAUAACAGAGCAUACAAGCAAUGACCCAUAUUGCUUUGUGGAAUUUUAUGAACACAGAGAUGCAGCUGCUGCAUUAGCUGCUAUGAAUGGGAGAAAAAUUUUGGGAAAGGAGGUCAAAGUAAACUGGGCAACCACACCAAGUAGCCAGAAAAAAGAUACUUCCAAUCACUUCCAUGUGUUUGUUGGGGACUUGAGUCCAGAAAUUACAACAGAAGAUAUCAAAUCAGCAUUUGCCCCCUUUGGUAAAAUAUCGGAUGCCCGGGUAGUUAAAGACAUGGCAACUGGAAAAUCCAAAGGCUAUGGUUUUGUAUCUUUUUAUAACAAACUGGAUGCAGAAAAUGCGAUUGUGCAUAUGGGAGGUCAGUGGUUGGGUGGUCGUCAAAUCCGAACCAAUUGGGCCACACGUAAACCACCUGCACCUAAAAGUACACAAGAAAACAACACUAAGCAGUUGAGAUUUGAAGAUGUAGUAAACCAGUCAAGUCCAAAAAAUUGUACUGUGUACUGUGGAGGAAUUGCAUCUGGGUUAACAGAUCAGCUUAUGAGACAGACAUUCUCACCAUUUGGACAAAUUAUGGAAAUAAGAGUUUUCCCAGAAAAGGGCUAUUCAUUUGUCAGAUUUUCCACCCAUGAAAGUGCAGCCCAUGCCAUUGUUUCGGUGAACGGUACUACGAUUGAAGGACAUGUGGUUAAAUGCUAUUGGGGUAAAGAAUCUCCUGAUAUGACUAAAAACUUCCAACAGGUAAUUCAAUUUUUCAUAGCACUCUUUAAGGUUUCCAUCUUACAUGUCACAUAAAAGCUUUGGAAACUCUGUAAAAUAAACAAUAAAAUAAAGCAUAUAGCUACUUUCAGUUGAUUGUAUUUCAAAAUUGAUUAUUUGCGGUAUUAACUGAAUCUUAAUACUUUCUUUUCACAGGUGUCACCACCCCAAUAAACUUAGACAAUGAUAAAUAACAGAGUCCUAUUCACAUAAGGGUGCUUACUUAGUUUUUCUCUUCCUUGUCUCCCACUCUUUCUUCAUAUACGGUGUUUCUUACGUGUUCCCUAAAACAAUAAUUUGCUUUUUCCUAGGUCGACUAUAGUCAAUGGGGCCAAUGGAGCCAAGUGUAUGGAAACCCACAACAGUAUGGACAGUAUAUGGCAAAUGGGUGGCAAGUACCGCCUUAUGGAGUAUACGGGCAACCAUGGAAUCAACAAGGAUUUGGAGUAGAUCAAUCACCUUCUGCUGCUUGGAUGGGUGGAUUUGGUGCUCAGCCUCCCCAAGGACAAGCUCCUCCCCCUGUAAUACCUCCUCCUAACCAAGCCGGAUAUGGUAUGGCAAGUUACCAAACACAGUGAGCCAGGACUCUAAAAAAAAAAUUGUAAUUCAUGAUAGGCUUCGAUUUCCUGUGACACUCUGAAGACAUGAAAGUAGACAUCGGAAAAUGAAAAUAUUUAUUUUAAAAAUUGAAAUGUUUGGAACCUUUAGCACAGAUUUGCUUUGGUGAAGGACACAUGUCUUCUAGUUCUGCCUUUUUAAGUUUUUGUUCAUGAUGGAUAUGAACAUGAUUUUUCUUUGUGUACAAAAACUAAAAUAAAGUCAAUAAAGACAAUUCUGACUACAAA